GCCUGUCCCGGCCGCGGGUCAGCUAGGUCGGUUGAACCUUGUCGAUGGUCAGUCCAUCAGUCGUGGUCAGUCGUCAGUCAAGUUCGAUUGGUGCUCGGAGGCGGUGUCGACCGAUCGCGCGCUCGUGUUGUGACAACAUCCUCAGUUUUAUCGCGUGCCAAGUGAUCUGGUGGUCAUCGGAUUCAAUUUCCUGUGAUUGUUUCAAACGUUCAUCGACAGGAUUUUUGGUGCCAGCCCCAAUCAGGGAGCAUCGGAUGGAAUAAAUUCACAAGUCUCAAGAUCAUUAUCAAUGGGACCGAAAAAAUCUGUGAGUAGACUUCAACCAGUCAUGACGAAAAUGAAGGACAUUUCAAACUGUGUCAGAGCAAAGUUAUCAAGCUGCAAUGCGAAAUUUUUGAGGCAUAAAAAUGACAAAGCAGAUGAAAAAGUUGAGCACGAACAACAGACCUGCAUUGGAGACACUCAACAGAGCUUCGAACUCAAACAACUUGACACCAAGAACUAUGAUCAUUAUUUCAAGAAUAACACUAGAUUCUACAACUACCAACGAACAAGACGAAUAAGCGAAAACUCGGAUCCUGAGCAACAUUACCAGAUUAGUAAAGAACAGUGCAAACAAGACAAUGACGGCCAAUACCCAAAUAAAAUGGCUAAAAUACAAACGAACAGACCAAGACACACUCUUCGACCACAGCGAAUAAGACAAAGAUUGGCCAUCAAUCAUCAAACCUUCAUCAAACCAAACGAUGAACUUCAAAGCAAUGAAUUGGACUGCAACAACAAUGAAAAGAGCAAAGAAAUUUGCACCUGCAAGAGCCAAAAUGUGAAUGAAGUUGAGUGUGAGCCCGAUAUAUUCAGUGAAGAUGAACGAACAAUAUUUGAGUCGGAGGAGGAAGAAACGAUAGCUGACUAUCACCCCAAACCUGCUCAACCUGCAUACGUCCAAAAACCUUAUCAGCUCAUGCACCCAGAUUGGAGGUGGAUACCUCAUGUGCCUCUGUACGGUUGGACACCCCAUCAUGAACAGAACAUUCGGAGGUUGUAUGAUGAGAUGGCUGAAGGACGUAUAACUUCUAUGUAUUACAAGGAUCCAGUUGAGUACGAGGAAUGUGAACGCCUAUACCGAAGUCUGAAAAAACAUGACCACUUCCUCAAAAAACCGACAGUGAGUACAUUAGAAGAAGUUUUUGAACUUAUUAAGAAAACAAUACAACACGAUGACCGGUUUAAACAGCCUAAAAGGACAAAAUGCCCUUCGUUUGGAAAAGAAGACAACGGUUAUGAUGCUGAUAUUGAAGAAACAGUGAUCUAAGCGAUCAAAGUUUGACCCUCAAUCCAAAUAACAAGUACCAAUAGUUGAAAGAAAAAACAUUUGAAUGUAACACUUGAAAAGGACAGAAUAUUCAGGUUCUUGAACGAUUUGUUUAAUUGUUGCAAAAAGAAUUAUUUGCCAAAAACACAUUACUUUCUCUAAUUUCAGCAAAAUUGUAAAAUGCUAAGUUAUGACUCUACAAUAUCAUGAUAUGUAAUUGUGAAGUUUUUUACCUAUUAUUUGAAGAAAAUUGUAAUCUACUUCCUUUAUGACUGUUGAAAAAUGCCUCUCUUUUGGUUAGUAGAAGAAAGUUUAUCAAACCUAUUCACUAAAAACAAAAAAAUUCUAUUCCUAAUGUUCCUUACUGCAGCUAAAUUCAUUUGAAAAUACUUACUGACAAUUUUAAACAUAAAAAGGCAAAUACCUGGACUUAGAAAUUCACUCCUCUGUUGUGUGUGAGUAGCAAUUUAUUUACAGAGAUUUUCAACGUUUUUAGGAUUUAUUUGUGUUACUUUGUUUAUAACUGACGAACAGUUAUUAUUUCCAAAGGUAAUUGAUGCUAAUUUUCCAUUCAAUGACAUAGAGUUAUAAUUGGCAAAAAGAAAAUUAGGAAUAUUUUACAUCUCUUUCAGUGAAAGAAAUUUUCUAUUAUUUUGUUCAUAAUAUAGUGAUUUUAAAGCAUGUGAUGUAAAUAUAUUGUGUGAUAAUGUAAAAUAAAUACGUUAAUUCCAAUAAUAUUCUUUCUUCACUUUAUUAUUUUACCAUACUUAAAAUUAAAAUACAAAAAGAUCGUUACUGUGCAAAAUUAGCACGACAAAAUUAAAAUUCACAUUAGGUUUCUUUUGGAAUUUAAUCAUGUAGGUAGGUAGAUGAAAUCAAUAUGUUUCAAAUUUCACGGUGACUUGCAAUUAAGAAAUAUCUUGUAAGUUCAGUGGAUGGACUACAUACUUAGGUAUAUAUUCUGCUGAAGAAAAGUGAUUAGUAACAUAUGAAUAAUGUGUUUUCUUCAUUUUUCCUGACAGAAACAACAUAUUUAAGCUAACUCAAGCCCUUUUCCAAUUUAAGUUGGGAACUACAAAUUAACUUUCCCGGUAGAACUUUUUAGAGCUUAGAGGUGUCUCAAGGAUAUUGUUACGAAAAACGGUAACACAUUAGAAAAACAGUGAUUCAUAAUAAAAAUUUGAGAACGCCUAAUUUAUCACA
rnacentral:lncRNA from 1 species